rnacentral:misc_RNA from 1 species
AAACAAGUCAUCAAUGCCCUUAAAUUAGAAAAUCUGUGGGCUCAAUAGCACACGAUUGAAAAAAAAAGAGAUUUGAUAUACAACACAGGAAGUUUAGGGGCUUAGAAAUGGUUUUUUUGCCUAGAAUUUUCACGCUUUAGGAGACAUCAAUUAAUAAUGUAGCUUAUGUCAACUUCAUCAGGGUUACAUUUAAUGUCUUUCUCAAGCCAAUUGGCUAGAUGAAGCCAUGAAGCCAUUUCUAUGGCGAGGGGAUAGAGAGAACAAACAAAGAUAAGAGGAAACAAAAUUAUAUGGUGUUAGUGCUGUCUAUUCUUUAUUUCAUUGAGGAAUUAUCUACUUUUGGCAUGUCUUGGAUUUCUCUAUUAUCUCAGCUUUAGUGUGUUUUUCCUCGUAAUAUGCAAUGUGAAGUCGAUUACAAGAAUUGUUGGAAGCAAGGUGAUUCACUGUUUCUGUUCUCAUUUACAAUGUAAUAGAUAUUAUUUGAACUUGCCUUUCCUCUGAAAGUUAUAAUAAACAUGAAACAAUUCAACUAUUCUGGAUAGGGGUGAGCAUUUGGUUCAAAUCGAACCGAACCGAACCGAACCGAAUUAAAUUAUAAAAACCGAAUUAUAUAUUUUGGAAACCGAACCGAAUCGAAAUUGAUAAAAAUCGAAUCGAAUCAAACUGAACCACUCUAUUUCAGUUCGGUUCGGUUCAAAUCGAUCGGUUUUGAUUUUUUAUUAUUUUUUAAUUUAGACUUAAUUUUCAAGUUAUUUGAUCUAAUUUUGACCUUGGUUUGAACUUAAUAACCAUUAAUCAAUGAAAUUAAACAAUUUAUAUAUAUAAAAUUAUACAAAAUUCAUAAAUUCCCUAUAAAAAUAAAUCAAUUUAAAAAUCAAUAAAGCGAUUCGGUUCGGUUUAGUUUGGUUCAACCGAUUUUUUCUCUCCAAAACCGAAUCAAACCAAAAUUCUUAAAAUGUAAAACCGAACAGAAUUAUC